UUGGCAGAAUUUUCUCUUUCUUACAAUUCAUAGCAUAUUAAAUUCGAUGAAGUAUGACAGUGGUUCCCAAACUUCGCUGCAUUUGGAAUCACCUGGCUAUCUUUAAAAAAUGCUCGUGCCUGGCACCUACCCCCAUGCAUUCGGAUGUAACAGGGAUGGGGUAUGACCUGGGCAUCAGGAUUUUUAAAAGCUCCCCAGGAAAUUCUAAAGUACAGCAAAGUUUGGGAGCCAUUGAAGUACAGUAUUUCUGCCUCAUUCAAGCUUUUCUUCAACUCCUAGGUUUCAUGGACAGCAUCUUUACAGAUUCUGCUUAUAUACUGAAUACUCCUCUGGAAGCCCUAAUGAUGUAUUUUUAACUCCAACCACUAAUCAUCCAUUAUAUUCCCAUUAGAAUGUCAGCUCCAGGAGGGCAGGGGUUUUGUUUGAUUUGUUCUCUGUUAUGUCCUCAGCACUUAGGACAUGUAGGCACAUUGUAGACACUUGAUAAAUGUUUGAUGAAUGAAUAAAUGAAUGAAUAUGCCUCCUUUUA